CCUACGGGUGGCAGCAGUGGGGAAUAUUGGACAAUGGGCGAAAGCCUGAUCCAGCCAUGCCGCGUGUGUGAAGAAGGCCUUCGGGUUGUAAAGCACUUUCAGUGGGGAAGAAAGCCUUGGGGCUAAUACCCUCGAGGAAGGACAUCACCCACAGAAGAAGCACCGGCUAACUCCGUGCCAGCAGCCGCGGUAAUACGGAGGGUGCGAGCGUUAAUCGGAAUUACUGGGCGAAAGCGCGGGUAGGCGGUCUGAUAAGCCGGUUGUGAAAGCCCCGGGCUCAACCUGGGAACGGCAUCCGGAACUGUCGGGCUAGAGUGCAAGAGAGGAAGGUGGAAUGCCCGGUGUAGCGGUGAAAUGCGUAGAGAUCGGGAGGAAUACCGGUGGCGAAGGCGGCCUUCUGGAUUGACACUGACGCUGAGGUGCGAAAGCGUGGGGAGCAAACAGGAUUAGAUACCCGAGUAGUC
rnacentral:rRNA from 1 species